GAUGAACGCUAGCGGCAGGCCUAAUACAUGCAAGUCGGACGGGAUUUGGGAGCUUGCUCCUAAUGAGAGUGGCGCACGGGUGCGUAACACGUAUGUAACCUACCUUAGUCAGGGGGAUAGCCUCUCGAAAGAGAGAUUAAGACCGCAUAACAUUAUUGAGUGGCAUCAUUUAAUAAUCAAAUAUUUAUAGGACUAAGAUGGGCAUGCGGAACAUUAGCUAGUUGGUAGGGUAACGGCCUACCAAGGCUACGAUGUUUAGGGGAUCUGAGAGGAUGGCCCCCCACACUGGUACUGAGAGACGGACCAGACUCCUACGGGAGGCAGCAGUAAGGAAUAUUGGUCAAUGGGCGGAAGCCUGAACCAGCCAUGCCGCGUGCAGGAAGACGGCCCUACGGGUUGUAAACUGCUUUUAUACGGGAAUAAACCUACUUACGUGUAAGUAGCUGAAUGUACUGUAAGAAUAAGGAUCGGCUAACUCCGUGCCAGCAGCCGCGGUAA
rnacentral:rRNA from 1 species